GGGUUGUGAGGUUAAGCGACUAAGCGUACACGGUGGAUGCCCUGGCAGUCAGAGGCGAUGAAGGACGUGCUAAUCUGCGAAAAGCGCCGGCGAGGUGAUAUGAACCUUUGACCCGGCGAUGUCCGAAUGGGGAAACCCAGUGUGUUCCGACACACUAUCGUUAACUGAAUACAUAGGUUAACGAGGCGAACCGGGGGAACUGAAACAUCUAAGUACCCCGAGGAAAAGAAAUCAACCGAGAUUCCCCCAGUAGCGGCGAGCGAACGGGGAGCAGCCCAGAGUCUGAAUCAGCUUGUGUGUUAGUGGAAGCGUCUGGAAAGUCGCACGGUACAGGGUGACAGUCCCGUACACGAAAGCACACAGGCUGUGAACUCGAAGAGUAGGGCGGGACACGUGGUAUCCUGUCUGAAUAUGGGGGGACCAUCCUCCAAGGCUAAAUACUCCUGACUGACCGAUAGUGAACCAGUACCGUGAGGGAAAGGCGAAAAGAACCCCGGCGAGGGGAGUGAAAAAGAACCUGAAACCGUGUACGUACAAGCAGUGGGAGCCUCUUUUAUGGGGUGACUGCGUACCUUUUGUAUAAUGGGUCAGCGACUUAUAUUCUGUAGCAAGGUUAACCGUAUAGGGGAGCCGAAGGGAAACCGAGUCUUAACUGGGCGUUAAGUUGCAGGGUAUAGACCCGAAACCCGGUGAUCUAGCCAUGGGCAGGUUGAAGGUUGGGUAACACUAACUGGAGGACCGAACCGACUAAUGUUGAAAAAUUAGCGGAUGACUUGUGGCUGGGGGUGAAAGGCCAAUCAAACCGGGAGAUAGCUGGUUCUCCCCGAAAGCUAUUUAGGUAGCGCCUCGUGAACUCAUCUUCGGGGGUAGAGCACUGUUUCGGCUAGGGGGCCAUCCCGGCUUACCAACCCGAUGCAAACUACGAAUACCGAAGAAUGUUAUCACGGGAGACACACGGCGGGUGCUAACGUCCGUCGUGAAGAGGGAAACAACCCAGACCGCCAGCUAAGGUCCCAAAGUCAUGGUUAAGUGGGAAACGAUGUGGGAAGGCACAGACAGCCAGGAUGUUGGCUUAGAAGCAGCCAUCAUUUAAAGAAAGCGUAAUAGCUCACUGGUCGAGUCGGCCUGCGCGGAAGAUGUAACGGGGCUAAACCAUGCACCGAAGCUGCGGCAGCGACGCUUAUGCGUUGUUGGGUAGGGGAGCGUUCUGUAAGCCGUUGAAGGUGUCCUGUGAGGGGUGCUGGAGGUAUCAGAAGUGCGAAUGCUGACAUAAGUAACGAUAAAGCGGGUGAAAAGCCCGCUCGCCGGAAGACCAAGGGUUCCUGUCCAACGUUAAUCGGGGCAGGGUGAGUCGACCCCUAAGGCGAGGCCGAAAGGCGUAGUCGAUGGGAAACAGGUUAAUAUUCCUGUACUUGGUGUUACUGCGAAGGGGGGACGGAGAAGGCUAUGUUAGCCGGGCGACGGUUGUCCCGGUUUAAGCAUGUAGGCGGAGGUUCCAGGUAAAUCCGGUUCCUUGUUAACGCUGAGGUGUGAUGACGAGGCACUACGGUGCUGAAGUAACAAAUGCCCUGCUUCCAGGAAAAGCCUCUAAGCAUCAGGUAACAUCAAAUCGUACCCCAAACCGACACAGGUGGUCAGGUAGAGAAUACCAAGGCGCUUGAGAGAACUCGGGUGAAGGAACUAGGCAAAAUGGUGCCGUAACUUCGGGAGAAGGCACGCUGAUAUGUAGGUGAAGCCCCUGCGGGUGGAGCUGAAAUCAGUCGAAGAUACCAGCUGGCUGCAACUGUUUAUUAAAAACACAGCACUGUGCAAACACGAAAGUGGACGUAUACGGUGUGACGCCUGCCCGGUGCCGGAAGGUUAAUUGAUGGGGUUAGCGGUAACGCGAAGCUCUUGAUCGAAGCCCCGGUAAACGGCGGCCGUAACUAUAACGGUCCUAAGGUAGCGAAAUUCCUUGUCGGGUAAGUUCCGACCUGCACGAAUGGCGUAAUGAUGGCCAGGCUGUCUCCACCCGAGACUCAGUGAAAUUGAACUCGCUGUGAAGAUGCAGUGUACCCGCGGCAAGACGGAAAGACCCCGUGAACCUUUACUAUAGCUUGACACUGAACACUGGUCCUUGAUGUGUAGGAUAGGUGGGAGGCUUUGAAGCGUGGACGCCAGUCUGCGUGGAGCCAACCUUGAAAUACCACCCUUUAAUGGCUGGUGUUCUAACGUAGACCCGUAAUCCGGGUUGCGGACAGUGUCUGGUGGGUAGUUUGACUGGGGCGGUCUCCUCCCAAAGAGUAACGGAGGAGCACGAAGGUUAGCUAAUCCUGGUCGGACAUCAGGAGGUUAGUGCAAUGGCAUAAGCUAGCUUGACUGCGAGAGUGACGGCUCGAGCAGGUGCGAAAGCAGGUCAUAGUGAUCCGGUGGUUCUGAAUGGAAGGGCCAUCGCUCAACGGAUAAAAGGUACUCCGGGGAUAACAGGCUGAUACCGCCCAAGAGUUCAUAUCGACGGCGGUGUUUGGCACCUCGAUGUCGGCUCAUCACAUCCUGGGGCUGAAGUAGGUCCCAAGGGUAUGGCUGUUCGCCAUUUAAAGUGGUACGCGAGCUGGGUUUAGAACGUCGUGAGACAGUUCGGUCCCUAUCUGCCGUGGGCGCUGGAGAAUUGAGGGGGGCUGCUCCUAGUACGAGAGGACCGGAGUGGACGCAUCACUGGUGUUCGGGUUGUCAUGCCAAUGGCACUGCCCGGUAGCUAAAUGCGGAAGAGAUAAGUGCUGAAAGCAUCUAAGCACGAAACUUGCCCCGAGAUGAGUUCUCCCUGAGACUUUAAGUCUCCUGAAGGAACGUUGAAGACUACGACGUUGAUAGGUCGGGUGUGUAAGCGCAGCGAUGCGUUGAGCUAACCGAUACUAAUGAACCGUGAGGCUUAACCUUACAACGCCGAAGGUGUUU
rnacentral:rRNA from 1 species